UUAUGAAUUAACAGGUAUAAAUGGUGGGUUAUGAACUAAAAGGUAUAAAUGAUGGGUUAUGAAUUAACAUGUAUAAAUGAUGGGUUAUGAACUAACAGGUAUAAAGGAUUGGAUAUGAAUUAACAGGUAUAAAUGAUGGGUUAUGAACUAAAAGGUAUAAAUGGUGGGUUAUGAAUGAACAGGUAUAAAUGAUGGGUUAUGAACUAACAGGUAUAAAUGAUGGUUUAUGAAUUAACAGGUAUAAAUGGUGGGUUAUGAACUAAAAGGUAUAAAUGAUGGCUUAUGAAUUAACAGGUAUAAAUGAUGGUUUAUGAAUUAACAGGUAUAAAUGAUGGGUUAUGAAUGAACAGGUAUAAAUGAUGGGUUAUGAAUGAACAGGUAUAAAUGAUGGGUUAUGAACUAACAGGUAUAAACGAUUGGUUAUGAAUUAACAGGUAUAAAUGAUGGGUUAUUAAUUAAAAGGUAUAAAUGACGGGUUAUGAAUUAACAUGUAUACAUGGUGGGUUAUGAACUAAAAGGUAUAAAUUAUGGGUUAUGAACUAACAGGUAUAAAUGAUGGGUUAUGAACUAACAGGUAUAAAUGAUGGGUUAUGAACUAACAGGUAUAAAUGAUGGGUUAUGAACUAAUAGGUAAAAAUGAUGGGUUAUGAACUAACAGUUAUAAAUGAUGGUUUAUGAAUUAACAGGUAUAAAUGAUUGGUUAUGAAUGAACAGGUAUAAAUGAUGGGUUAUGAAUGAACAGGUAUAAAUGAUGGGUUAGGAAUGAACAGAUAUUAUGAUGGGUUAUGAAUUAAAAUAUUUUAAUGAUGGGUUAUGAAUGAACAGGUAUAAAUGAUGGGUUAUGAAUUAAAAGGUUUAAAUGAUGGGUUAUGAAUUAACAGGUAUAAAUGAUGGGUUAUGAACUAACAGGUAUAAAUGAUGGGUUAUGAACUAACAGGUAUAAAUGAUGGUUUAUGAGUUAACAGGUAUAAAUGGUGGGUUAUGAACUAAAAGGUAUAAAUGAUGGGUUAGGAAUGAACAGAUAUUAUGAUGGGUUAUGAAUUAAAAUAUUUUAAUGAUGGGUUAUGAAUGAACAGGUAUAAAUGAUGGGUUAUGAAUUAAAAGGUUUAAAUGAUGGGUUAUGAAUUAACAGGUAUAAAUGAUGGGUUAUGAACUAACAGGUAUAAAUGAUGGGUUAUGAACUAACAGGUAUAAAUGAUGGUUUAUGAGUUAACAGGUAUAAAUGGUGGGUUAUGAACUAAAAGGUAUAAAUGAUGGUUUAUGAAUUAACAGGUAUAAAUGGUGGGUUAUGAACUAAAAGGUAUAAAUGAUGGCUUAUGAAUUAACAGGUAUAAAUGAUGGGUUAUGAAUGAACAGGUAUACAUGAUGGGAUAUGAACUAACAGGUAUAAAUGAUGGGUUAUGAAUUAACAUGUAUAAAUGAUGGGAUAUGAAUGAACAGGUAUAAAUGAUGGGUUAAGAAUUAACAGGUAUAAAUGAUGGUUUAUGAAUUAACAGGUAUAAAUGAUGGGUUAUGAAUGAACAGGUAUAAAUGAUGGGUUAUGAAUGAACAGGUAUAAAUGAUGGGUUAUGAACUAACAGGUAUAAACGAUUGGUUAUGAAUUAACAGGUAUAAAUGAUGGGUUAUUAAUUAAAAGGUAUAAAUGACGGGUUAUGAAUUAACAUGUAUACAUGGUGGGUUAUGAACUAAAAGGUAUAAAUUAUGGGUUAUGAACUAACAGGUAUAAAUGAUGGGUUAUGAACUAACAGGUAUAAAUGAUGGGUUAUGAACUAACAGGUAUAAAUGAUGGGUUAUGAACUAAUAGGUAAAAAUGAUGGGUUAUGAACUAACAGUUAUAAAUGAUGGUUUAUGAAUUAACAGGUAUAAAUGAUUGGUUAUGAAUGAACAGGUAUAAAUGAUGGGUUAUGAAUGAACAGGUAUAAAUGAUGGGUUAGGAAUGAACAGAUAUUAUGAUGGGUUAUGAAUUAAAAUAUUUUAAUGAUGGGUUAUGAAUGAACAGGUAUAAAUGAUGGGUUAUGAAUUAAAAGGUUUAAAUGAUGGGUUAUGAAUUAACAGGUAUAAAUGAUGGGUUAUGAACUAACAGGUAUAAAUGAUGGGUUAUGAACUAACAGGUAUAAAUGAUGGUUUAUGAGUUAACAGGUAUAAAUGGUGGGUUAUGAACUAAAAGGUAUAAAUGAUGGUUUAUGAAUUAACAGGUAUAAAUGGUGGGUUAUGAACUAAAAGGUAUAAAUGAUGGCUUAUGAAUUAACAGGUAUAAAUGAUGGGUUAUGAAUGAACAGGUAUACAUGAUGGGAUAUGAACUAACAGGUAUAAAUGAUGGGUUAUGAAUUAACAUGUAUAAAUGAUGGGAUAUGAAUGAACAGGUAUAAAUGAUGGGUUAAGAAUUAACAGGUAUUAAUGAUGGGUUAUGAACUAACGAGUUUAAAUGAGGGGUUAUGAAUUAACAGGUAUAAAUGAUGGGUUAUGAAUUAAAAGGUUGAAAUGAUGGGUUAUGAACUAACAGGUGGAAAUGAUGGGCUAUGAAUGAACAGGUAUAAAUGACGGGUAAUGAAUUAACAGGUAUAAAUGAUGGGUUAUGAAUGAACAGGUAUAAAUGAUGGGUUAUGAACUAACAUGUAUAAAUGAUGGUUUAUGAAUUAACAGGUAUAAAUGAUGGGUUAUGAAUUAACAGGUAUAAAUGAUGGGUUAUGAAUUUACAGGUUUAAAUGAUGGGUUAUGAAUGAACAGGUAUACAUGAUGGGUUAUGAACUAACAGGUAUAAAUGACGGGUUAUGAAUUAACAUGUAUAAAUGAUGGUUUAUGAACUAACAGGUAUAAAUGAUGGGAUAUGAAUUAACAGGUAUUAAUGAUGGGUUAUGAACUAACAGGUAUAAAUGAUGGGUUAGUAAUUAACAGUUAUAAAUGAUGGGUUAGGAAUGAACAGAUAUUAUGAUGGGUUAUGAAUUAAAAUAUUUUAAUGAUGGGUUAUGAAUGAACAGGUAUAAAUGAUGGGUUAUGAAUUAAAAGGUUUAAAUGAUGGGUUAUGAAUUAACAGGUAUAAAUGAUGGGUUAUGAACUAACAGGUAUAAAUGAUGGGUUAUGAACUAACAGGUAUAAAUGAUGGUUUAUGAGUUAACAGGUAUAAAUGGUGGGUUAUGAACUAAAAGGUAUAAAUGAUGGGUUAUGAAUUAACAUGUAUAAAUGAUGGGUUAUGAACUAACAGGUAUAAAUGAUGGGUUAUGAACUAACAGGUAUAAAUGAUGGUUUAUGAAUUAACAGGUAUAAAUGGUGGGUUAUGAACUAAAAGGUAUAAAUGAUGGCUUAUGAAUUAACAGGUAUAAAUGAUGGGUUAUGAAUUAACAGGUAUACAUGAUGGGAUAUGAACUAACAGGUAUGAAUGAUGGGUUAUGAAUUAACAUGUAUAAAUGAUGGGCUAUGAAUGAACAGGUAUAAAUGAUGGGUUAAGAAUUAACAGGUAUUAAUGAUGGGUUAUGAACUAACGGGUUUAAAUGAGGGGUUAUGAAUUAACAGGCAUAAAUGAUGGGUUAUGAAUUAAAAGGUUGAAAUGAUGGGUUAUGAACUAACAGGUGGAAAUGAUGGGCUAUGAAUGAACAGGUAUAAAUGAUGGGUUAUGAAUGAACGGGUAUAAAUGAUGGGUUAUGAAUGAAAGGGUAAAAAUGACGGGUUAUGAACUAACAGGUAUAAAUGACGGGUAAUGAAUUAACAGGUAUAAAUGAUGGGUUAUGAAUGAACAGGUAUAAAUGAUGGGUUAUGAACUAACAGGUAUAAACGAUUGGUUAUGAAUUAACAGGUAUAAAUGAUGGGUUAUUAAUUAAAAGGUAUAAAUGACGGGUUAUGAAUUAACAUGUAUACAUGGUGGGUUAUGAACUAAAAUGUAUAAAUGAUGGGUUAUGAACUAACAGGUAUAAAUGAUGGGAUAUGAAUUAAUAGGUAUAAAUGAUGGGUUAUGAGCUAAUAGGUAAAAAUGAUGGGUUAUGAACUAACAGUUAUAAAUGAUGGUUUAUGAAUUAACAGGUAUAAAUGAUGGGUUAUGAAUGAACAGGUAUAAAUGAUGGGUUAUGAAUGAACAGGUAUAAAUGAUGGGUUAUGAACUAACAGGUAUAAACGAUUGGUUAUGAAUUAACAGGUAUAAAUGAUGGGUUAUUAAUUAAAAGGUAUAAAUGACGGGUUAUGAAUUAACAUGUAUACAUGGUGGGUUAUGAACUGAAAGGUAUAAAUUAUGGGUUAUGAACUAACAGGUAUAAAUGAUGGGUUAUGAACUAACAGGUAUAAAUGAUGGUUUAUGAAUUAACAGGUAUAAAUGGUGGGUUAUGAACUAAAAGGUAUAAAUGAUGGCUUAUGAAUUAACAGGUAUAAAUGAUGGGUUAUGAAUGAACAGGUAUACAUGAUGGGAUAUGAACUAACAGGUAUAAAUGAUGGGUUAUGAAUUAACAUGUAUAAAUGAUGGGAUAUGAAUGAACAGGUAUAAAUGAUGGGUUAAGAAUUAACAGGUAUUAAUGAUGGGUUAUGAACUAACGGGUUUAAAUGAGGGGUUAUGAAUUAACAGGUAUAAAUGAUGGGUUAUGAAUUAAAAGGUUGAAAUGAUGGGUUAUGAACUAACAGGUGGAAAUGAUGGGCUAUGAAUGAACAGGUAUAAAUGAUUGGUUAUGAAUGAACAGGUAUAAAUGAUGGGUUAUGAAUGAACAGGUAUAAAUGAUGGGUUAUGAACGAACAGGUAUAAAUGAUGGGUUAUGAACUAACAGGUAUAAAUGACAGGUAAUGAAUUAACAGGUAUAAAUGAUGGGUUAUGAAUGAACAGGUAUAAAUGAUGGGUUAUUAAUUAAAAGGUAUAAAUGACGGGUUAUGAAUUAACAUGUAUACAUGGUGGGUUAUGAACUGAAAGGUAUAAAUUAUGGGUUAUGAACUAACAGGUAUAAAUGAUGGGUUAUGAACUAACAGGUAUAAAUGAUGGUUUAUGAAUUAACAGGUAUAAAUGGUGGGUUAUGAACUAAAAGGUAUAAAUGAUGGCUUAUGAAUUAACAGGUAUAAAUGAUGGGUUAUGAAUGAACAGGUAUACAUGAUGGGAUAUGAACUAACAGGUAUAAAUGAUGGGUUAUGAAUUAACAUGUAUAAAUGAUGGGAUAUGAAUGAACAGGUAUAAAUGAUGGGUUAAGAAUUAACAGGUAUUAAUGAUGGGUUAUGAACUAACGGGUUUAAAUGAGGGGUUAUGAAUUAACAGGUAUAAAUGAUGGGUUAUGAAUUAAAAGGUUGAAAUGAUGGGUUAUGAACUAACAGGUGGAAAUGAUGGGCUAUGAAUGAACAGGUAUAAAUGACGGGUAAUGAAUUAACAGGUAUAAAUGAUGGGUUAUGAAUGAACAGGUAUAAAUGAUGGGUUAUGAACUAACAUGUAUAAAUGAUGGUUUAUGAAUUAACAGGUAUAAAUGAUGGGUUAUGAAUUAACAGGUAUAAAUGAUGGGUUAUGAAUUUACAGGUUUAAAUGAUGGGUUAUGAAUGAACAGGUAUACAUGAUGGGUUAUGAACUAACAGGUAUAAAUGACGGGUUAUGAAUUAACAUGUAUAAAUGAUGGUUUAUGAACUAACAGGUAUAAAUGAUGGGAUAUGAAUUAACAGGUAUUAAUGAUGGGUUAUGAACUAACAGGUAUAAAUGAUGGGUUAGUAAUUAACAGUUAUAAAUGAUGGGUUAGGAAUGAACAGAUAUUAUGAUGGGUUAUGAAUUAAAAUAUUUUAAUGAUGGGUUAUGAAUGAACAGGUAUAAAUGAUGGGUUAUGAAUUAAAAGGUUUAAAUGAUGGGUUAUGAAUUAACAGGUAUAAAUGAUGGGUUAUGAACUAACAGGUAUAAAUGAUGGG
ensembl:lncRNA